GACAGAGGGUGCAAACGUUGUUCGGAUUUACUGGGCGUAAAGGGUCUGUAGGUGGCCAACUAAGUCAGACGUGAAAUCCCUCAGCUUAACUGGGGAACUGCGUCUGAUACUGGAUGGCUUGAGUGUGGGAGAGGAAUGCGGAAUUCCAGGUGUAGCGGUGAAAUGCGUAGAUAUCUGGAGGAACACCGGUGGCGAAGGCGGCAUUCUGGACCAUAACUGACACUGAGAGACGAAAGCCAGGGGAGCAAACGGG
rnacentral:rRNA from 1 species